AAAUUUGGACAUUACAAAAAGAAGAGAUUUGUACAUAAUACAGUGAAUUAAUUUCCAUAAAUAAGAUUUCAAUAACUCUCAAGGCAGAUAAAACCACUAAUAAAUAAAUAGCCCAACAUAGCUGCAGAACUUUUGGACAUAUAGGAAUAAUAAUAAUACUAACUGAUCUUCAUUGAUAACUAGUUAUCGAAGGGCAAUCGACCGAGGUCCUUCAGCCCAGAUAUAGGAAUAUUAUAAUACAGGAAUUUUAUAAAUGGUUGUAAUAUCUACCUUCUAGUGAUCUUUGAAAUGUUUUCAACAGCUUUUUACUGACUUAGGCAAAUAUUCAAUAUGAUAAAAUUUCGACAAUGACAAUUAAAGAUUGUGUAUUAUCAGUUAUUAUCCUCUUUAUCAAAACUCACAAAAAGUAAAUUAAAAAUAUUUCAAAUAUCGCAAAAACUUUUACAAUCCCUUAUAAAGACCAUGUAUGAAAUAAUAACUAGAAUUAGUAAUCCUUCACAAUAAUGUUUUGAUCAGAAGACAGUAGAUUUAGGGGAUUUUUAAAGAAAAAUUUUACUUCUAUUCUAUUACAUAUUAAAGUAAAAGUAAUGAAAUGAAAUUUUGAAAAUAUUCUCUUAUAAAGGGGAACAACUAAAUCAUAAGAUUUGAACACUACAAGCAUUCAUCACUAGACAGAAAUAUAUAAAAUUCACAAAUUUAAUUCAAACUAACAUUUUUUAAAAAGAAAUUAUUUCAAAUGAAUCCAUUCAUUCUGUGUGAAAAUUUAUUGCUUCCAUUCAAUAUUGGGUAAGAAGUUAUUUAUUUAAAGAUUUAUGAUUUCUUAUCUCUGUUGUGAUUUACUUGGUGCAUUGUUUAGUUUAGUAGUCCAGGGAAUCAAGGUUGAAUAAUACUUCUUGAAAUGAGUUGUCAACCUAAUAUAUAUUAGCAAAAAAAUACAAUAAUUAUUUAUUUCAAGAUGUCAAAUUGUGUUUCUUCCUAUAUUACAAAUGUAAAGAAUUCAUUGCUUAAGCUGAAAAAUAUUGAUGGUUGGUUUUAAUGAAUUAAAUAAAAGUAACAUAUUAGAAAAUAAGAAUUUACCAAUUCAAGGUUAAUCCAAUGUUAUGGUGUCAAAAAUUCAUGGAAAUAAUGAUUAAUUUGCUGAUUAGAUAUUCUUAAAUAUCCAAUUAUAAAAGAAAGAAGAAAAACCUUUUCCUUUCUUGUGAUAACUAACCAGACUCAAAUCUGAGAAAUGUACAACUGAAUAUAAAAAGGUAAUAAUGGACUCAACACAUGCAAACAUAACUUCAGAUAAAUUUGAAAGUAAAAAAUUACCUCCUUCUGCAAGAUUUGGCCCAAAAGUAGCAGGUACAUCUUCAAAUUGUUGAAAGUAGAAUUGAGAAUCCUAAAAAAUAUAAUCAAAUCUUGUAGUAGCAAAAUUGAAACCUACAAAUUAGAAAUUUUCCACAGAUGUGAA